UCCGGAGGGCAUGCCUGUUUGAGCGUCAUUU
rnacentral:rRNA from 1 species